rnacentral:lncRNA from 1 species
CUGAAUCUAACACAAUCUCUGUAUUCAAUUACAUUCUGGAUUUCUUUUCCCCACAUUCUGGAUCAACUUGUGAAACCAACAAUUACCGUCAUCUGACAUUUCUCGGCCUUCAAAAAUAACAAUAUCAUACAAUAAUAAUUCAUUGCAUACACUUUUCAUCGCUUAUAGUCAUGGUAUCAUCACAUACUACACAUAUUCAUUGCAUAACCGGAUAAAUGAUUUUAAAUAUAUAUAUAAUUAAAUCUUCAUAUUUUCUGCUUAUAAAUAAGGAGUUAAGCCAUAUUUGAAACAAGGAAAAAAAUGAGGAAAAAUGGAAAAGAGCUCAGCUUCACCAAAUGAUUCAUUUACUAGUGCCAUGACACUUACUGAAGACGGUCUAACCAAAGUUCCCAAACGUUACAUUCUUCCGCCAUCCUUACGCCCCGAUGGAACCCGGUCUAACACAUGCCUGCCAAUUGUAGAUCUAUCCUUUCUGCGACACCCUCUUCAUCGGCCUCGGAUAAUCGAGGAAGUACACCUGGCUUGCAAGGAACUAGGUUUCUUCCAGGUACUUCUCUCGUGUCAUGUCACCUGCAAUCAUGUACUAAAAUGAUAUAGUUUUUUAUCCUAUUUUGUUACAUGUAAAGUUCCUUCGUGCUGAUAUGAUUUAAGGAAGAACAAUAUACACACACCACGUAAAUAAAAGAUGUUGUCAGAUUCCCCACAGAGAGACAAAAGCAUUUGGAAAUCAAGAAAAAGAAACUUCAUGCAGCAUACAUGGUGCAUUUGGUUUCUAGACAUAUCUCCUCCUCCUCCUCCUCCUCCUCUCGUCCCUUUAUUUUCAGUUGAUCAGUUAAAAGAGAUGUCCUAGAUUUUAGAUACAUAGCGGUUUAGCAGGAAAGAGAAUAAGACGUGCUUCGCUAAUUCAACCUGGACGUAAAAUAACAGCAUGCAUGCAAUAAAUGACUCUGCAGGUAGUCAACCAUGGAAUCCCAUUGUCAGUCAUGAAAGAUGCCUUAGAAGCUGCGACUGAGUUCUUCGAUUUACCAAAUGAAAAGAAAAUGCAUCUCUUGUCUUCAAAUGUUCAUGAUCCCGUAAGGUAUAAUACCAGCCUAAAUGAUGUCAAAGACAAAGUAUCCUUUUGGAGAGACUUCCUCAAGCACUAUGCUAAUCCACUCUCAAAUUGGAUUGAUUUGUGGCCAUCAAAUCCCACAUGUUACAAGUAAGUUUUGCACCCUUAUCUGAAAUGAUUUCUGAUAGAUAUAUUUUCUCACUGUUCAAGAAUAAUAAAACUAUAGGUACCUAAAGCAGUUUAUCAUGCAGGGAGAAAAUGGGAAAUUACACGAUCGCAGCACAAAAGUUGCAAGAAGAACUCAUGGGAGUGAUAUUUGAGAGCUUAGGACUAAACCCUAGUUACUUACAUGAAGACAUUGCAGAAGGCUCCCAGGUCAUGGCCAUUAAUUGCUAUCCAGCAUGUCCUGAGCCAGAUCUUACACUAGGCUUGCCACCACACACAGAUUAUGCUUUGCUAACGAUCAUUCUUCAAAAUCAUCAGGGCUUGCAAAUCAUG